GGGGGGGGGGGGGGGGGGGGGGGGGAGGGGGGGGGGGGGGGGGGGGGGGGGGGGGGGGGUCGGGGGACGGUAGUGGGGGACGGGGGGGGAGGACGGGGGGGAGCGACGGAGAAUACUUGGGUAGCUUCGGGUAACCGGAGCAUAAACCGGAGAAUAGAAGGGACUGAUGUGCUCAGUGGUGAAAUGCGGGGUUGCUGGCACUUAUAGAUGCAGCCGCUCCGCAUUAGCGAGUUGGUAAGGUAACUGCUUACCAAGGCAACGCUGCGUAGCCGACCUGAGAGGGUGAUCGGCCACACUGGAACUGAGACACGGUCCAGACUCCUACGGGAGGCAGCAGUAGGGAAUCUUCCGCAAUGGGCGAAAGCUUGACGGAGCAACGCCGCGUGAGUGAUGAAGGUCUUCGGAUCGUAAAACUCUGUUAUUAGGGAAGAACAAAUGUGUAAGUAACUAUGCACGUCUUGACGGUACCUAAUCAGAAAGCCACGGCUAACUACGUG
rnacentral:rRNA from 1 species